rnacentral:rRNA from 1 species
GAUGAACGCUGGCGGCGUGCCUAACACAUGCAAGUCGAGCGAAGCACUUUGCUUAGAUUUUUCGGAUGAAGAGGAUUGUGACUGAGCGGCGGACGGGUGAGUAACGCGUGGGUAACCUGCCUCAUACAGGGGGAUAACAGUUAGAAAUGACUGCUAAUACCGCAUAAGACCACAGCACCGCAUGGUGCGGGGGUAAAAACUCCGGUGGUAUGAGAUGGACCCGCGUCUGAUUAGCUAGUUGGUAAGGUAACGGCUUACCAAGGCGACGAUCAGUAGCCGACCUGAGAGGGUGACCGGCCACAUUGGGACUGAGACACGGCCCAAACUCCUACGGGAGGCAGCAGUGGGGAAUAUUGCACAAUGGGGGAAACCCUGAUGCAGCGACGCCGCGUGAGCGAAGAAGUAUUUCGGUAUGUAAAGCUCUAUCAGCAGGGAAGAAAAUGACG